CGCAGCAAUGCAGGAGAGUCGGCGACUUCAGGGACUGAGGCUGGAGGUCUGCAAAAGCAGAUCAGGAGGUGUGGAGGCAUUUGUUUCUAUAUCAUAUCACCAACCGCAAUACCACUCUAGGAUGGAAAGACUCUGUAUUUCCAAACAGUGUGCAACUGGGCCGAGCUGGUGGCAAAAUCUUACCUUAGUGAAAUGUCUAUGUUACUUAUCAAGCUCAUUUCCUGGGAUCACAUCAUGCCCUCCACUUACCUUAAUAUUGAGAACGCUUAAUCGUUCAUUUCAAUUAUUUAUGUCUCCCCCCGAUUCUCUAGGCUAUAUGGGGACAAUGUCUUACCAGAUACAUCUCUAGAUUACUUAAGUUAAUACUGGUAGGCCAGAUGCUGUGGCUCACACCUGUAAUCCCAGCACUUUGGGAGGCCGAGGCGGGCGAAUUGGAAGGCUGAGGCAGGAGAGUCGCUUGAACCCAGGUCAGGGAGUGGUGGGGGGUGCGGCAUCGAGGUUGCAGUGAGCUGAGAUCAUGCCACUGCACUUCAGCCUGGGUGACAGAGCGAGGCUCUGUCUCAAAAGCAAACAAACAAACAAAAAAGAAAGUUUGCUCCAGGUCAGCUCUGGGUAUAAACAGGAGGAACCCAGUUUGAAUAGGAAAUAAUAUCUAACAGAUACUCUUACUAACUUCUAUUCUCUUAUUAGUCAACUAAUUUUUUUUUUUUUUUGAGACAGGGUCUGAUUCUGUCGCCCAGCUUGGAGUGCAGUCGUGCAAUCUCGGUUCACUGCAAUCUCCUGGGCUUAGCCAGUGAUCCUCCCACCUCAGCUUCCUGAGUAGCUGGAACUACAGGCGUCCACCACUGCACCUGGCCAGAUGGUCAACUCAUUUUUAAGAAGGACUGCUUGUUGGCUGGGCACGGUGGCUCACGCCUGUAAUCCCAGCACUUUGGGACGGUGAGGCAGGUGGAUAACCUGAGGUCAGGAGUUUGAGACCAGCCUGGUCAACAUGGUAAAACCCCGUCUCUACUAAAAAAUACAAAAAUUAGCUGGGCGUGGCAGGCGACUUAAUCCUAGCUACUUGGGAGGCAGAGGCAGGAGAAUCGUUUGAACCCGGGAGGCAGAGGUUUCAGUGAACCAAGAUUGAGCAAUUGCACUCAAACCUGGGGGACAAGAGCGAGACUUCUCUUAAAAAAAAAAAAAAAAAGAAGGACUGCUUGUUAAACUAUCAAUGUAGUGUCUACAUUUUUACUUCAUUCUGAAAAAUUCAGUAUAAUUUUCAAAUUUUUCCACUAGAAAUAUUUUGAGAACACAUACAUACAAUUUUUUUUUCAUUUGGGUGUGUAUACAUUCCCAAAAUAUUAUAAUUGGAAUGUUUCUAGACUUUUUGAGGACCUUUCAGAGCAGCAAAGAACCAAAAAAAAAAAAAAAAAAACUAAACCUGUAUCAUUUAAAUUGAUUAUAUUAACACGGCAACUCAAGGUUUUUCACCUUGAACUGACUAUAAUCUUAUUAUUUUACAGCGUCUGUGAAUCUUGGUAUUAGCAUAGAGAAAACAUUUUUUUUUGGCAAACACAGAAAGGGGAACCUUUAAAGAGACAGACUUGCUCAUUUUACAGAUGAGGAAAUCGAGAUGCAGAAAGUGAACUGAUUUGCUUAAGGUCCCUUGCUUAGUAAAUAACAAACGGGGAACUAGAACUCAGCAUUUCUGAUUCCUGAUUCUUCAACUUUCCCAUAAUACCUAUUGCCUUGUCAACGGAAAAAUGAUUUUCCAUUUGUAUUAAGUAAUCUUCUAGUAUUUAUUUAUUUAUUUAUUUAUUUAAUUUUUGAGACAGAGUCUCUCUCUGUCACCCAGGCUGGAGUGCAGUGGCACGAUGUCAGCUCACUACAACCUCCGCCUCCUGGGUUCAAGUGAUUCUCCUGCCUCAGCCUCCUGAGUAGCUGGGAUUACAGGCACGUGCCGCCACGCCCAGCUAAUUUUUGUAUUUUUAGUAGAGACCGGGUUUCACCAUGCUGGUUGGGCUGGUCUUGAACUCCUGACCUCAAGCAAUCCACCCUCCUCGAUCUCCCAAAGUGCUGGGGUUACAGGCAUGAGACACGGCACUUGGCCUUUGU
rnacentral:lncRNA from 10 species